AAUUUCUUAAGAGUCGGACCUCAAUUCAUUUGUCGUAAUAUAUCGCUUACCAUCGGGACGAAAUGGAUUCUACCAGUAACAAUAAUGAUACAGGCUGCACCAGCAAGUAGGCCUGAGGCAACUUCUCAACCUGUGAACAAUAGGAAGUCAGUCAAAGCUAAGUGGCGCCACCUGAGCUAUGACAUAAUCAUGAUGGUCAACAGGUAGUGGAGACAAGAUAAAAGCCAUUGCAUAACAUAUUUGCCCACCUCAAGGCCAAACAACUAGUAGAUAAGGUAGGUGUAUGUAAACUUAUGACACUCUGAAAUAUGCAUUGUUCUCAAAUAGAGCUCAUAAAAACAAUGAAAUUAAUGAAACAGAAGUAUGUUUUUUAGUUGAUGACGAGAUGUGAUGAUAGACUUCCUGUAAACUAUAUACUAUUCCCGCGUUCUGUAGUUGCAGAGAAAGAGACAAGGUUAUAUCAUCCUUUGAAUUGUAUGUAAACUUUCGAGCACGACUGUACUCUCUAAUUUUUGCCU